ensembl:processed_transcript 1810026B05Rik RIKEN cDNA 1810026B05 gene
AAGAUGGCCGGAGAGGCAGCAGCAAGCCCAGCUGUCAGGCGGUCUGCCGCGGCCCGUGGGCUCGCCGCUGCGCUGGGAGCGCUACCCCGGCGUCCUGGAGGGCUCUGGGAGAGCGGGGAGGCCGCGGCUGGGGCGAGGCGGCCGCGCGCGAUGUGGGAGCUCGCGGCCGGAGCGCCCGGGGAGGCCGGGCCCACGACGCCCGUGGCUCCGCUGCGGCAGCGGCGGUGCUGGUGUCGCGCGCGGCCGGGAGGCGGCUUCGCGCCGCGGGCGGGAGGCUGCGGCGGGCGACCCGUCCUGGACACGCGAGGAAGAGCGAGCCGAUGGCGGCAGGGGCCGCGCUUCGACCCGGUAACUUAGAAGAUGAUAAUUAAUGUGGUUGCUGAUAAUUCUGAAUAAAUACAGCUUUUAUCCCAGGUGUGCCAUUUUGAAGACUGAGACCAUAGAGUUCUAAGAAUAAAGGAAAGAGCCCUUGGGAAAUUAUUAUAUAUAGCAAGUAAGUUUUUUUAAUUGUUAUAUUUGAAUAUUUGCCAACAUUUGGGUAGGAAUAUAUCAUUAAAGCUUGUCAAUAAAAAAAUACUGUUUGACCGUGUAUAUAUAAAAAA